GUUUGUCGUCGACAUCUGUCGACGGUGAUUUACGUUCGGUGGGGCGAAGCCCAUUAAAAAUGAAAACUUCACUUAGCGGGAAAAAGGAAAAUUAUAUCACAAUCCCGCUUUUAGGAGUUCGUCGAUUCAGAAUUGGAAUGAAUCUCCUGCAUACAUGCUUCGCCGAUCAACUUUUCGACCUAGAUCGUCUGCCCUGCUCCGCCGCUCUCCCCUAUUUAAACCCCCCCUCCAUUCAACGCUCUUCCACAUUUCUCCGCCCUCAUCCUCCCUACUCAACCCUUGAUCAUUUGCCCUCCUCUAUGUUACUGUAACUUGCCUUCGAUCAUUGUCCAUCUUGCCGUAUGAAAAUUUUGUUGGUUCUUUCUAGAUUGUGGAGUGCUAUGUUUUAACCGAGGUUAUCGGUUUUGUUGCUAUCUGGUUUUUAUUGGUAUGGGGAUUUGUUGAUGUAGUUUAGAAAUAUUUUGGGAUAUGAAGUAUUUCACCCCUACAUUUGCUACAUCUUGUGAUGGUUGCAUGCAUUUUAUUUGUCUGCUGGUGUCACUGGGAGUAUGUUAUCUUUGUUGGAUCCUUCCUGUUUGUGCAUUGCUUUUUUGGAAUUACGUCGUAGCUGCUAAUUGUGUUUCAUGUUGGUGUUGAACACUAAAAUAAUUCAUUGCUAUUAAAUUCUCGAUUUGGUGAAGUUAAUCAGGUUCGAGGCCAUCUAGCUGCAAAAUUAUAUUAUAUCUAUGCAAGAUAAACAAGAUAAAGGUUCUUGAUGGUUCGUGACAAGUCCCAAGGACUCAUUGUCUAUAUCAGGAGAGCUAAAAAGAGUCCAGUCCAGUAAUCGCAAGCCUUUUCAUGGCCAAUCCCCAAUAGCCCUCACUUUAUGCUUAUUUUGGGUUGGAGGGUAUUUUGAUUCUUUCAACAUCGAGUUUCUCCAAUAGACAGACUGUGAACUAAAGAGUUGACAACUAGAAUGAAGUAAGGACCAUUAGAUGAAGAGAUUGGAAUUCAAGAUGCCAAAACCCAACUUUCUAUCCAUAUAUACAAGUGUUUGAAAGGCUGAUAUGUUUAAAUUGAUUGCUUCUCUUCUUCAUGAAAUGCUUGUGUUGGUUAUAUUUCUGAUUACUAUAAAUCAAUUAUUUUCUAAGUUUUGAAGUUUGAUUGAUGAACGGGUGUGUCUUUGUGUGUAUAUAUAACUUAUGAAAUUGUUUGUGUAUUUUGUGAAAAACACUUGAAAUUUGUAUGA